rnacentral:rRNA from 1 species
GACGAACGCUGGCGGCGUGCUUAACACAUGCAAGUCGAACGAUGAACCCGGAGCUUGCUCUGGGGGAUUAGUGGCGAACGGGUGAGUAACACGUGAGUAACCUGCCCUGGACUCUGGGAUAAGCGUUGGAAACGACGUCUAAUACCGGAUAGGACCUUGGAGCGCAUGAUCUGGGGUGGAAAGUUUUUUCGGUCUGGGAUGGACUCGCGGCCUAUCAGCUUGUUGGUGAGGUAAUGGCUCACCAAGGCGUCGACGGGUAGCCGGCCUGAGAGGGUGACCGGCCACACUGGGACUGAGACACGGACCAGACUCCUAAGGGAGGCAGCAGUGGGGAAGAUUGCACAAUGGGCGAAAGCCUGCUGCAGCAACGCCGCGUGCGGGAUGACGGCCGUCGGGUUGUAAACCGCUUUUAGUAGGGAAGAAGGGCUUCGGCUUGACGGUACCUGCAGAAAAAGGACCGGCUAACUACGUG